rnacentral:rRNA from 1 species
UGGGGAAUAUUGCACAAUGGGCGCAAGCCUGAUGCAGCGACGCCGCGUGGGGGAUGACGGCCUUCGGGUUGUAAACUCCUUUCGCUAGGGACGAAGCUUUUUGUGACGGUACCUAGAUAAGAAGCACCGGCUAACUACGUGCCAGCAGCCGCGGUAAUACGUAGGGUGCGAGCGUUGUCCGGAAUUACUGGGCGUAAAGGGCUCGUAGGUGGUUUGUCGCGUCGUCUGUGAAAUUCCGGGGCUUAACUCCGGGCGUGCAGGCGAUACGGGCAUAACUUGAGUACUGUAGGGGUAACUGAAUUCCUGGUGUAGCGGUGAAAUGCGCAGAUAUCAGGAGGAACACCGAUGGCGAAGGCAGGUUACUGGGCAGUUACUGACGCUGAGGAGCGAAAGCAUGGGUAGCGAACAGG